rnacentral:rRNA from 1 species
GACGAACGCUGGCGGCGUGCUUAACACAUGCAAGUCGAACGGAAAGGCCCUGCUUUUGUGGGGUGCUCGAGUGGCGAACGGGUGAGUAACACGUGAGUAACCUGCCCUUGACUUUGGGAUAACUUCAGGAAACUGGGGCUAAUACCGGAUAGGAGCUCCUGCUGCAUGGUGGGGGUUGGAAAGUUUCGGCGGUUGGGGAUGGACUCGCGGCUUAUCAGCUUGUUGGUGGGGUAGUGGCUUACCAAGGCUUUGACGGGUAGCCGGCCUGAGAGGGUGACCGGCCACAUUGGGACUUGGGUCCCGGCCAGACUCCUUCGGGAGGCAGCAGUGGGGAAUAUUGCACAAUGGGCGGAAGCCUGAUGCAGCAACGCCGCGUGCGGGAUGACGGCCUUCGGGUUGUAAACCGCUUUCGCCUGUGACGAAGCGUGAGUGACGGUAAUGGGUAAAGAAGCACCGGCUAACUACGUG